ensembl:lincRNA
AUGCCGGUUCUAAUUGUGCCAUUUCUUAAAGCAGUAGCAAUGAGAAUUUUUGGACUAAAGAAUCUUAUAUUUCUCACCCUUUGUUGUUGUCUUCUCAAGGUAGGCAUAAAAAGCAGGAUCAAGAGAUGGAAGUCGGUACCAGUCCACUCACCAUCCAGAACCUUGAUGUGCCAGAUGUUUUUGGUUGGAAGCAGUCUCUCUCAAGGCCAUGGAAUGAUGGAAAUGCUAAUGGUGGAAGACGAAUCCGGUAAUUGUGGUCAAACUCACGAUGAAUAGACAGCAUACAUUCUAACUACAUGUAGGUAAAUGCACCAUAUACUACUUAUAAAUAACUUUUAUGUAUGAGGUAAAUGGGAUACAGUAUUUUCUAUACUAAAACAUAUUUCAGUCCAAUUAGUUUCAGAAGAUGCUAUAUAAAGAAACAAAAAACACAUUUUUUUCUUUCACAUUCCUUCCUUUCCUUUACCAAUGUGCUUUUUUCUAUGUUCCAAUUUCUCUUAUAAUUAACAAAUUUGGGUCUGUGCAGAUUUUCCUCAAAUUGCAUCCAGCUUUCUAUUAAUUCUGUAGCAAGGUUUUAGUUUAUUCCACUUCAUGCUGAUUUAUUUCCUUACUUGUUAAAAUACUUCAAAUGAGUGAUUAAUGCAAC